UAUAAAAGAUAAAAGAUUUCUACAUGUUG
rnacentral:piRNA from 1 species